rnacentral:rRNA from 1 species
AGGACGAACGCUGGCGGCGUGCUUAACACAUGCAAGUCGAACGAGGUCCAACCUUCGGGUGAAGACCUAGUGGCGAACGGGUGCGUAACACGUGAGGAACUUGUCCCGGUCUCUGGGAUAACAGUUGGAAACGACUGCUAAUACCGGAUGACGUCGGAGCGUCGCAUGGCGCGCUGACGAAAGGGUUACUGGAUCGGGAGAGCCUCGCGGCCUAUCAGCUUGUUGGUGGGGUAACGGCCUACCAAGGCAUCGACGGGUAGCUGGUCUGAGAGGAUGAUCAGCCACACUGGGACUGAGACACGGCCCAGACUCCUACGGAGGCAGCAGUGGGGAAUCUUGCGCAAUGGGCGAAAGCCUGACGCAGCAACGCCGCGUGCGGGAAGAAGGCUCGUCGGGUUGUAAACCGCUUUCAGAAGGAACGAAACUGACGGUACUUCAGAAGAAGGUGCGGCCAACUACGUGCCAGCAGCCGCGGUAA